rnacentral:rRNA from 1 species
AAAGGAAUAGACGGGGGCCCGCACAAGCAGUGGAGUAUGUGGUUUAAUUCGAUGCAACGCGAAGAACCUUACCGGGGCUUGACAUCCCGCGCAAACCCGAGAGACCGGGUGUUCCUUCUUUGAAGGACGCGGAGACAGGUGGUGCAUGGUUGUCGUCAGCUCGUGUCGUGAGAUGUUGGGUUAAGUCCCGCAACGAGCGCAACCCCUAUCGUCGGUUGCCAUCAUUCAGUUGGGCACUUUGACGAGACUGCCGGUGAUAAAUCGGGGGAAGGUGGGGAUGACGUCAAAUCAUCAUGCCCUUUAUGUCCCGGGCUACACACGUACUACAAUGGCUGUCACAACGGGAAGCGAAGCCGCGAGGCGGAGCGAAUCCUUAAAAAGCAGCCCCAGUUCGGAUUGCAGGCUGCAACUCGCCUGCAUGAAGUCGGAAUUGCUAGUAAUGGCAGGUCAGCAUACUGCCGUGAAUACGUUCCCGGGCCUUGUACACACCGCCCGU